rnacentral:piRNA from 1 species
AAGAUGGUGAACACGCCUCAGAGGACGC